rnacentral:rRNA from 1 species
AUGAAGAUGGUUGAAACUGAGAAACAUUUGGUAUUUUGAUUGGUAUACAAACUUAGUGAGUUGGCUUUGAUAUUGCCGGUGUCUACGACAUCUAUUGAGAGAGCUUUUUUAGCAGUGAAGAUUAUCAAGAUUAAACUACGUAGUAAGACCAAUAAUGAAUGGUUCAAUGACUUGAUGAUAUGUUACACCGAGAGGGUAUUCAAGUCAGUUGAUGAUAAGGAUAUUAUUCAAACAUUUACUCCAAUGAGUUCUCAGAAAGGGAAUUUGCCUCGUGAUUUUCUUUAG